rnacentral:lncRNA from 1 species
UACCUAACAUAUCGAUGCACGCAUGCAUCAAGUCUCGUAUCAUUGCAAAAGGCUUUUUUAUAAAGUCAUCAGGUGAAGAUACGCAUAAUAGUGCAAGAAACUAAGGGUCUUCUGGAAACUGGAAAACANUGGUCCAUGAAAGUAUAUAGAUUGUGUUGAUGAUGAGAGUGAAAGUGGUGGUGGACCAUUGAAGAUAAAAAAAAAAACCUUAGAGAUUAAGAAACGGUAGUAAAAUAUAGAGUGAUUGAAGGUGUCAGAAAUUUAGGCUCGAUUUUUAUUUCAGGCCCUGGUUUUAUAGAACUGAUUUGUGUAAUACUAACUUUACUUCUAUGUUACUUGAUUGUAUUUUUGUGUUUCCACAUAGAGUAUUUCAGUUGUUUGAAUUUUUUGCUGAACUUUACAGAGAAAUAGAAAUGGGGGCUAACAUGUAUAUCGUGUAUGAUUGUAUUUUUAUGCAUAUGUUUGAUUUAGUUGUAUGUUGUAUUUGGUAAGGACUUGAGUCAGGGAACAGCGAUGCUAGUCGUUGCCGGGCAAAUAAAACCCAACAGACUCGCCGAUCAUGGUCUACGAGGGAGGAGCUUGUGUUGUUGUCUACUUUAAAAGAAUUAGUAGCACAAGGAUGGAAGUCGGACAAUUGGCAGCAGGAUAAUCGGCAAUUCGAUGAAUAAAUAUGAAAUAAACCACAAUAAAGAAUUGGAAACUACAUAACGGCAAUGAAGCGAGCACAUUUUAUGCAUUCUCAAUAACCAAGAUCAUACAAUCUCAAAUUUUACAAAAUAAAAAUUCAGUUGAUGAAAGAAUUGAGGAUCAAUUUCACCUCUAAUGCAAAACCAUAACCUAUAUUUACAAGAAGGUCUCAAGCUCUGGCUAGUUAAUCAUAUUAGUAUUUUCAUUCUACUCAAUGCAACAAAAAUGAUAAAUACAUACACUACAGAAAAGGCACAACACAACACAGAAGAUUACAUCAUUGUCAUAUACAAGACGAGAUAAACUUUAGAUAUAUCUUAUCUGCCUUCAUCAAUCAAAAUAGUCCAUACAAAUGACUUACCCCUAUAAAAAAAAAAUCAGAUUAUUCAAUAUACCAGUGAAUAAAAUUAUCUCAUCAUAAGAUACGAACUCUAACCUCGAAGCUGUGAAGCAGGCUACCGCCCUCAGGGAUCCGAAGACAGUCGAAGAUCUGUUGUGCCAAAAAGGGAGGUGUAGAAUCCCUGUUCAUUACCACCGUGAAAGUAUAUAAAUGAGUAUGAGAUAAAGCUCAAACAUAAAGGAUUACAAAUUGAAGAAAAAUGAUUCUUAACUCAAAACCAACCACUGCAAUACAAAAUUCAAGAAAUUAGCCAAAUAUUCACUUAUUCUCGUCACAAUAUUACCUAUUAUUUAUGUAGUAAAAUUCAAGUAAUGAAAUCAGAUUUUUUUUAUUUUUCAAGUUGUUACAGAGAACACAUAAAUCAAGCAAAUAUACCCUAUUAAAUAAAGAUCAGCAAGACCAUUCAAUGUCGCAAGUUCGAGAUAAAUUCAUCAAUAAAAAACCUCUCUUCAAAUUCAGCAUUAAAUCCUCUUCCGCCUCACCAAAACACAUUCAAACAGCAUCAAGCAUUUCAUGUAAAAGUGAAAUCUAUUUUGUAUUUAAUUAUCAUUGUUGCCUACACCUUAAUCUAGUGCAGGUUCUAUGUGAUCUGUGUCUAUUGAUAGUGACAACAUAUGAUAGUAGUUUUGUCCAUGUAAGUGAAGAAUCUGAAGCUUAGACUGCGAGAUUUGGCUAAUCUAUGUUCACUAUCAGCUUAAGAUUGUGAUAGAUGAACUAAGCUUAUAGAAUUUGGAAUUAAGCAAUAUUUCUCCUGAAUUGCUUCACGGAAAAGAUUUCGGCACAACAAUUAUCUAAUUGCCUAUUAAAAUGGAACAACCAUGUGAGGAGUGAGCACUACAGGGAUUCAGAUCAUGCUUUAGCUUUUAGCCUUUACUUCUACAAUUGGCCUCAAAGUAGAUAUUAAAACGGAACAAAUGAAGCUAAGUAUGAUACACAAGGAGAAUAACACCUCAAACCAGUAAAACAAAGCCCAUUUCACAAGCCAAAUCCGACGCCAAACUUGAUAAAAAUAUAUAGGGACGACGCCAAAUCUAACUCGAGAUAAAUAAACAGGGAUGAAGCAAAAUCAACGCCAGAUCGAACUCCUAAACUGACACUAAUGCAAUUAAAAACUGAAUUGGGAGUAGCAGCUAAUAGAGGAUCAUACAUUUUCUCAUCAGAAUUUUCCAAGAAACACAAAUUUUCUUGACAAGAAGGCAUAAAGGUCCCAGGUUUCCCCCGAUUUUCGGCACCAUCUACACUACCACUGAAGAAUUCAAAAUUGAAGAAUUCCAUAAGUGAAAUAUGACUCAUUUGCGAAAUGGAAGAAUUCGAGAACAGGGAUUGUAGAAUCCCAGAGGAAACACUUGCAAAAUUUAUUAAAACAAAUGGAUUUUACAUUGAAUUACAGAACAACAAUAAGAGAGGAAACACUUUCGAAAUUAAAUCCCACGCCAAAAAUACACAGGGACGACGCCAAAUCAACUAAAUCACAAAUUGAUACAAUCUCGAACGAAAACAUAUGAGGAAUCGGCGCAAAACAGAAACUAAAACCAUGCAAAAUGAGUUCGACGCAACAAACCUUCUUAUCUUGAGGGCGUAUGGAGGGACUCGAUUUGUGAAGCAACGACUGUCGAAGAUAAUUGAAGUUCAGAAAAAUCAAUUCUUGAAGACGACGAGAGGUAUGGAUUCGCAGCCCAGCAAUCUGUACGAGACCGCGUCGCAAGCCUUUUUCGUUUCUGUUUUCUGGCGAAGUCUGGAGCAGAUUUUUCUUCCCCUUUUUCGUUUCUGAAAUUGGGAAUUUUGGGGGCAAUAUUGGAAAUACACUCCUUAGUCUGAUGUAUUUGGGUUCUAUCCGACGCUCAGCGUAAGUUAAUUAAACAAGAGUAGUCUUAAAAAUAACUACGGGCCAGCAGGCUCUCUCGGGCCGUCUAAUUAAAUGUCUAACGCUAGCAAACAUUGAAAUAGAGCAAGACUAAUUAACAGUCUAACCUUACAGACCCUAGCAAACUGGGCCUUAAACAAUUUUGUCCUACCAUCUUAACCUUCCUUGCAGCCACCAUUCUCCUUCGGACGACACUAGACACUUCAUCGUGUUCAGAAUUUGGAUUUUUUUUUUGUUCAAGAGAGAAAUAACAAGAGAGAUUAUUGCCUAAAACAGGGUUGCAAUAGGAUUUGGGUUUUUCCUUUUUUCAAAAAAAAAUUAACCUUCUCUGAUUUUGAACUCAAUCUCACUCUCUGAUUUUAGUUUUUGUUGAGCUGUUGGAGAUUUACUUGAUUGUUUCUAAGAUGAUAAUAAAUUAACCAAAUUUUUAAAUAAGAGAGCGGCGCUGGAGGGAGGAAGGUCGCGCAAUGCUGAUAGGUGGGGACCGUUGGAGACCGACGAAGUCAACGGAAGAUGUGAAGACUGGAGGGGGGAGGCGGCAUUGAGCCGUCACGUUCUUGGGGGUAGGGGGCGACGAAGAUUUUUAGGGGUGGGGAAGAAACGUGAUUUUUUGCUGGGGAAAGGCGGUGCAAAACCCAUUUUUGAGGUUGAGACGGGGGUGGAGGGGAGUGGGUUGGGGCAGAAGACGAUGGAAGAUGGAAUUCUCUUUUUAUCUUUUAAUUUAAAUUUCUCAAUUUCUUUUAUUUAGUAUAAGGAUAAAAUAGUACUUUUAUUAUUUAAUCUAGAUUUUAAUUAAAACUAUCAAACAACUAUCUAAAUUUUAAUCUAAACAACCAAACACAGAUAAUUUACCAAGUCUCACCCAAUCCAUAUUAUUUUAUCUAGGUUUACACCUGUCACUCUUGAUUUCAACUUUAACACCGAAUGAGGCCUAAAGUGAUAUUAACACAAAGUAAUAUAUUAGAUGUAUCAGUUGCUCAAUCAGUCAAAAACUAUUUGAUAUGGAGUAAUUCGUAGUAACAUAGUUGAUUGAAAACAAACAAGACACUCGGAAGAUACUUUAAUACACAUAACAGAUUAACAGGUACAUGUCAAUUGAGUAACUAUUAGUCUUCAUAUACUGGAAAGCAUCCAGGUUGAGAUAUAAAAUCUCUUUUAACACAGCCAAUUCAAAAAAGAAAAACCUAUCUUACAAUAUGCAAUUUUUCUGAUCAUGGAAGUGCACCCGGUCAACGGUUGUGGAGAAUAAGCUGCUUCCUUAACCUCCACAACAGGAGCCACAAGCAGGAGCUGCACCUGAAGCAACAUUUAUAUUUUAAGUCGAUGACGAAAAGAACAGUAAAAGAGAACAGAACGGGAAAGAUUAGUACAUGAUGAGGGAAAAACUUACUGUGAUCGAUUCCUCUAACGUUAUCUAAUCCACGGGGUGGCCCACGUGGACCACCACCGUAUGGGCCACUUCCUGGACCUCCUGGACCACCACCAUCCCAUUUCUUGCUGGCACCGGAACCUUUCCGAUAGGCUUCAGACUUCUCCAUCUGCACAAGAUAGGGAAGAAUGAGGACAUGAUCUGCAUUGAAACUUCCAUAGUUUAGCCAGAAGAAUAGGAUUACCGAAAACAUCGUGGCAAAAAAGGCCCGAAUCAAAUUGAUUAUGGCCCAGAAGAAGUCUGUGAUUGUUUUCAGUCGCCAUAUUGAUCUCUUAUCUUUGAUAACACCUGAAGAGCAGGACAGUCACUGACAAGCAAAUACAUACAUAGGAUAGAAUGAAUGGACGUCAUGUCCAUCUACCUAACAAUAUCGAUGCACGCAUGCAUCAAGUCUCGUAUCAUUGCAAAAGGCUUUUUUAUAAAGUCAACAGGUGAAGAUACCAUAAUAGUGCAAGAAACUAAGGUCUUCUGGAAACUGGAAAACACGCGUAUGAACUCACAAAUAAAAUUUGUGUUUGUUUAAGAACCUUGAGAACAAUUCUUUCGAUUUUACAUAUCACUAUCCGAAGAUGGAUUGACAUCCAAAAAAUCUGUCUUUCACAUUUCUAAAACAAAAAAUUGAUUCUUACUCACAUAAUAUUGCUUCCUACAAUUAUAUUACAGAUAUGAUUUGACAUAUUGAAUCAAAGUUCUUGCCACAAUUAUCAAACAAGUACUACUUUUAACAAUCAAAUCAUUUCUUCCAAUUCUACAAAAUCGCUAACCACAUACUCUUAGAGGGAUUUUUUGAUGACCCCAAACAAAUUGGCUUCAAGCGUAGAGAUACAUUUACUGUUCCAUUGCAGAAAUUACUCAAUAGGGCACGGGUCUUGCAAAUUACACCCAACGGAAAAUUCUAAGGUGGCUCAGGGAGAAAAUGACUUGCCUAAGAGCUAUCAAAUAUGCUUAAAUAACAAUAGAAGUUCUGUUCUUCUAUGUGAUUAUCCCCACCUCAAAGAAUACAGGGACAAAAAAUCGGUUUUUCACUCAGAUAUCCUACAUUUGUAUACAAUAAUAGCAUUAUCCAUUUAACUCUAUUAAAACAAAUACUACUCCCCGACUCAUAUUGGAAAUCCAUGACAACUUGACUGUCUGUUUUAUGAGUUGCACACAAAAAGAAACUUCAAAAUAUGAAACAAAACUUGUUAUUCAAAUCUAAAAUUUCGCAAUGUAAAAUUAUUUAACAAUGAAUAAAAAGAAAGGCCUUUCAUCAUCUCUGAAGCGUAAUAACCAGACUUUCAAUGUCGGAUAGAUUAUCGGAUGAAUUAAGUUCUCAACCUACACCCAAAUAAAAAUGCCGUAAUGGAAGCUUAUCCCUAAUUUCAACCUGUCAAGCAGCAACAGCAGGGAUGUCUCGAAUUAUUGAGCGAUCGAUCAAUUAAGACAGUAGUACAUCGUCACAACGGAGAUUUCUUAUCACAAAUUUAUAUAAGAUCAACAUAAACUACCACUGCAAUCAAUAAUCAGUCAUUCUGAACAAAGAUUCGUGUAAUAUUUGCAAAAAAUAGGAUCGGAAAUACGAAAAUUGGAAAUAAACAUCAAAUCAACUGAAGGAUCGGAAGGGAAAAUAACAUAGAUGAAUUAAUACCCAAACGAGUUAUCGAAAGAAGUGGGGAAAAAUGUACCUCUCUCAACGUAUGCCAUGGUG